rnacentral:rRNA from 1 species
GGGCCCGCACAAGCGGAGGAACAUGUGGUUUAAUUCGAUGAUACGCGAGGAACCUUACCCGGGCUUGAAAUGCAGAGGAAGUGCUUAGAAAUAGGUAUGCCAGUAAUGGUCUCUGUGUAGGUGCUGCAUGGUUGUCGUCAGCUCGUGCCGUGAGGUGUCGGCUUAAGUGCCAUAACGAGCGCAACCCUGAUUGAUAGUUACUAACAGGUCAUGCUGAGGACUCUAUCGAGACUGCCGUCGUAAGAUGUGAGGAAGGUUGGGAUGACGUCAAAUCAGCACGGCCCUUACGUCCGGGGCUACACACGUGUUACAAUGGGGAGUACAGCAGGCAGUUACGGGGCGACCCUUCGCUAAUCCCAAAAACUCCUCUCAGUUCGGAUCGAAGUCUGCAACCCGACUUCGUGAAGCUGGAUUCGCUAGUAAUCGCGCAUCAGCCACGGCG